UAUAAACCGUUGAAGGGGAAGUAAAACCGCAAGACCAACCUCACAGAGAGUCGAGUAGGCUGGAAGCUCGGCAGGUAACGGAGCGGGUAAAUGGGCCCUGGAGGGUGGAGCGAAAAGGCUUGCUUAGGCUUUAGUAGCUACCAACGCAAAGCCAGCGUUAUUGGGCAAAGGGUGUGUUGGCACUCUGCAGGAGAGGAUGCAUUUGUCUUUUGUGCAUCAAUUAAGGUGGUACCGCAGAUUAACGUCUGUCCUUAUC
rnacentral:ncRNA from 1 species